GGUUAAGCGACUAAGCGUACACGGUGGAUGCCCUGGCAGUCAGAGGCGAUGAAGGACGUGCUAAUCUGCGAUAAGCGUCGGUAAGGUGAUAUGAACCGUUAUAACCGGCGAUUUCCGAAUGGGGAAACCCAGUGUGAUUCGUCACACUAUCAUUAACUGAAUCCAUAGGUUAAUGAGGCGAACCGGGGGAACUGAAACAUCUAAGUACCCCGAGGAAAAGAAAUCAACCGAGAUUCCCCCAGUAGCGGCGAGCGAACGGGGAGCAGCCCAGAGCCUGAAUCAGUGUGUGUGUUAGUGGAAGCGUCUGGAAAGGCGCGCGAUACAGGGUGACAGCCCCGUACACAAAAAUGCACAUGCUGUGAGCUCGAUGAGUAGGGCGGGACACGUGGUAUCCUGUCUGAAUAUGGGGGGACCAUCCUCCAAGGCUAAAUACUCCUGACUGACCGAUAGUGAACCAGUACCGUGAGGGAAAGGCGAAAAGAACCCCGGCGAGGGGAGUGAAAAAGAACCUGAAACCGUGUACGUACAAGCAGUGGGAGCACAGAGCAAUCUGUGUGACUGCGUACCUUUUGUAUAAUGGGUCAGCGACUUAUAUUCUGUAGCAAGGUUAACCGAAUAGGGGAGCCGAAGGGAAACCGAGUCUUAACUGGGCGUUAAGUUGCAGGGUAUAGACCCGAAACCCGGUGAUCUAGCCAUGGGCAGGUUGAAGGUUGGGUAACACUAACUGGAGGACCGAACCGACUAAUGUUGAAAAAUUAGCGGAUGACUUGUGGCUGGGGGUGAAAGGCCAAUCAAACCGGGAGAUAGCUGGUUCUCCCCGAAAGCUAUUUAGGUAGCGCCUCGUGAAUUCAUCUCCGGGGGUAGAGCACUGUUUCGGCAAGGGGGUCAUCCCGACUUACCAACCCGAUGCAAACUGCGAAUACCGGAGAAUGUUAUCACGGGAGACACACGGCGGGUGCUAACGUCCGUCGUGAAGAGGGAAACAACCCAGACCGCCAGCUAAGGUCCCAAAGUCAUGGUUAAGUGGGAAACGAUGUGGGAAGGCCCAGACAGCCAGGAUGUUGGCUUAGAAGCAGCCAUCAUUUAAAGAAAGCGUAAUAGCUCACUGGUCGAGUCGGCCUGCGCGGAAGAUGUAACGGGGCUAAACCAUGCACCGAAGCUGCGGCAGCGACACUAUGUGUUGUUGGGUAGGGGAGCGUUCUGUAAGCCUGUGAAGGUGUACUGUGAGGUAUGCUGGAGGUAUCAGAAGUGCGAAUGCUGACAUAAGUAACGAUAAAGCGGGUGAAAAGCCCGCUCGCCGGAAGACCAAGGGUUCCUGUCCAACGUUAAUCGGGGCAGGGUGAGUCGACCCCUAAGGCGAGGCCGAAAGGCGUAGUCGAUGGGAAACAGGUUAAUAUUCCUGUACUUGGUGUUACUGCGAAGGGGGGACGGAGAAGGCUAUGUUGGCCGGGCGACGGUUGUCCCGGUUUAAGCGUGUAGGCUGGUUUUCCAGGCAAAUCCGGAAAAUCAAGGCUGAGGCGUGAUGACGAGGCACUACGGUGCUGAAGCAACAAAUGCCCUGCUUCCAGGAAAAGCCUCUAAGCAUCAGGUAACAUCAAAUCGUACCCCAAACCGACACAGGUGGUCAGGUAGAGAAUACCAAGGCGCUUGAGAGAACUCGGGUGAAGGAACUAGGCAAAAUGGUGCCGUAACUUCGGGAGAAGGCACGCUGAUAUGUAGGUGAAGCGACUUGCUCGUGGAGCUGAAAUCAGUCGAAGAUACCAGCUGGCUGCAACUGUUUAUUAAAAACACAGCACUGUGCAAACACGAAAGUGGACGUAUACGGUGUGACGCCUGCCCGGUGCCGGAAGGUUAAUUGAUGGGGUCAGCGCAAGCGAAGCUCUUGAUCGAAGCCCCGGUAAACGGCGGCCGUAACUAUAACGGUCCUAAGGUAGCGAAAUUCCUUGUCGGGUAAGUUCCGACCUGCACGAAUGGCGUAAUGAUGGCCAGGCUGUCUCCACCCGAGACUCAGUGAAAUUGAACUCGCUGUGAAGAUGCAGUGUACCCGCGGCAAGACGGAAAGACCCCGUGAACCUUUACUAUAGCUUGACACUGAACAUUGAGCCUUGAUGUGUAGGAUAGGUGGGAGGCUUUGAAGUGUGGACGCCAGUCUGCAUGGAGCCGACCUUGAAAUACCACCCUUUAAUGUUUGAUGUUCUAACGUUGACCCGUAAUCCGGGUUGCGGACAGUGUCUGGUGGGUAGUUUGACUGGGGCGGUCUCCUCCUAAAGAGUAACGGAGGAGCACGAAGGUUGGCUAAUCCUGGUCGGACAUCAGGAGGUUAGUGCAAUGGCAUAAGCCAGCUUGACUGCGAGCGUGACGGCGCGAGCAGGUGCGAAAGCAGGUCAUAGUGAUCCGGUGGUUCUGAAUGGAAGGGCCAUCGCUCAACGGAUAAAAGGUACUCCGGGGAUAACAGGCUGAUACCGCCCAAGAGUUCAUAUCGACGGCGGUGUUUGGCACCUCGAUGUCGGCUCAUCACAUCCUGGGGCUGAAGUAGGUCCCAAGGGUAUGGCUGUUCGCCAUUUAAAGUGGUACGCGAGCUGGGUUUAGAACGUCGUGAGACAGUUCGGUCCCUAUCUGCCGUGGGCGCUGGAGAAUUGAGGGGGGCUGCUCCUAGUACGAGAGGACCGGAGUGGACGCAUCACUGGUGUUCGGGUUGUCAUGCCAAUGGCACUGCCCGGUAGCUAAAUGCGGAAGAGAUAAGUGCUGAAAGCAUCUAAGCACGAAACUUGCCCCGAGAUGAGUUCUCCCUGACUCCUUGAGAGUCCUGAAGGAACGUUGAAGACGACGACGUUGAUAGGCCGGGUGUGUAAGCGCAGCGAUGCGUUGAGCUAACCGGUACUAAUGAACCGUGAGGCUUAACCUU
rnacentral:rRNA from 1 species